rnacentral:rRNA from 1 species
CUACGGGUGGCAGCAGUGGGGAAUAUUGGACAAUGGGGGAAACCCUGAUCCAGCAAUGCCGCGUGUGUGAAGAAGGCCUGCGGGUUGUAAAGCACUUUCGGUUGGGAGGGCUGCUUCUAGCACUAAUAUUGUUGGAAGUUGACGUUACCUUCAGAAGAAGCACCGGCUAACUCCGUGCCAGCAGCCGCGGUAAUCGGAGGGUGCAAGCGUUAAUCGGAAUUACUGGGCGUAAAGCGCGCGUAGGCGGCUAGAUCAGUCGGGUGUGAAAGCCCCGGGCUUAACCUGGGAACUGCAUCCGAUACUGUCUAGCUUGAGUACAGGAGAGGAGAGUGGAAUUCCACAUGUAGCGGUGAAAUGCGUAGAUAUGUGGAGGAACACCAAUGGCGAAGGCAGCUCUCUGGCCUGAUACUGACGCUGAGGUGCGAAAGCGUGGGGAGCAAACAGGAUUAGAUACCCUUGUAGUC